CUAGUCUUUCCCUAAUAAUAAAGCACGAAUUGACUCCGUGGGUUCACUGUCACAAUACGCUUCUUCUCGUGAAUUUACGCUUUCACUUUGAAUUUAAAUAUAUACAUGAGGUGGUACUAAAAAAUCGCUUGGUUCGUCCGUCCGUUUUCCCCUUCUUUUCUCUUUGGUAGGCGUUGGGUCACCCGUCGCCCACCUGGGCCACAGCCCGUAGAAUCCAGACGAGACACGAUGGGAGCCGGCCCAGUCAAUCAAGAGAGGAGGCAAAAACUUCCGCUGAUCGUACUCCCUACUUCGGUAGGUCCUCGAUGGCAUCGAACAGAGCUAGCCCAUUAUUGUGUACAGAAAACUGAUUUGAACUGCUAUCAAAAGUACCACCUCGCUUUGUUAUGUCCCAUCAUACCAAUUUAUAUAGGUCAUUGAAUUAAAAUUCGUAAGAAGCCUCGAGCGUACAUGGAUCAACAUGAGAUACAUCUUUGAGAUGAAAAGCGGAUGCAAACGACCUGGCUAGGGUAUUCGUCAUCCUCGCAACACCAGCAUCCGCCGUCACCCCGCCCGCCGGUCGCCGUCAAUAGCAUCAGAUGCUUCCGGUGAGCGGCCUUGCAUCGGAUGCUUCUGGCGAGCAACCCCGCGUGGCUGGCGCUCCCGCCGGCGACCAGCCUUGCUUUUGCAGCCGCCCCAUUGUUGCUACCCCCCAUACGAGAGAGUCGCGCGAGAACGCUCGCCGCUGCUGCAACUUCUCGCCGCCGUCAGCUAAUUUCCGUCAAACACACCAUGGCUGGAUUUGUGCUUGCAGAGAGAGCAUGGUUGUUGCUGGAUAUGGCGCGAGCUUGCACAAGCCUUGGCGGUGGCUCUUGCUUGCGCAUCAGUGGGGUUCCAGAGAUAAGGGGAGAGAAGGGAGGAAGGAAAUUGGGGAUGACGGGGACAAGAAGGGACGGCUAUGAAGAUAAGGUCGACGAGGGACAGUGGUGCGUGCGCCAGACGACACGCAUCACCCGCGCGAGACGACUGGUGGGACAAGCCUAUGGCCGCUUUUCGCGCAAAAAAAGUGUACGGCCGCUUGAAAACAAGCAAUUCCCGUAGGAUAGGAUUAGAUUUAGCUAGAUUUGGUAAUACUCCUAUAUAAC
rnacentral:rRNA from 1 species